GUGAAUCAUCAAAUUUUUGAACGCAAAUUGCGCUUCCUGGCAUCCCGGGAAGUAUGCCUGUUUGAGGGUCAGUAUUAACAAAAAAUCGGUUUGGUUGCAAAUUGUGACGUUUCCGGAGUUUGGGCUAUCUUAACUUUUUUGGUUAAGGGGCUUAAAAUUGACCUUAUUUGCGCAUUUUUAGACGUACAUAAAUUUUUUUUUUUUUGUUUGUCUUUAUGCUUUAAAUUCUAUUUGGUGGGG
rnacentral:misc_RNA from 1 species